AUCGUCUCUAGUGCCUAUUUUCUCGGGUUUUUUUACACAAAUAGAGUAAAAAAAGAAAAUCUACUGAAAUAAGGUGUCAAAAAAAAGUAUUUAUUAAAAUGGAUUAUUUUUUUCAUCACCAACAACAUGCGUUGUUCCUUAAUGUAUGUUUUUUUUUUGCCUAUAAGUAAAUGUAAAUGGUCCCAACAUGCCACACGGUAGAGAAAAAAAAAGAGAGAAAGGAGAAGAAGAGAAAGAGAAGAAGAAGAAGAAGAAAG
rnacentral:lncRNA from 1 species